rnacentral:rRNA from 2 species
AAUGGACGCAAGUCUGAUGGAGCAACGCCGCGUGAGUGAAGAAGGCUUUCGGGUCGUAAAACUCUGUUGUUGGAGAAGAAUGGUCGGCAGAGUAACUGUUGCCGGCGUGACGGUAUCCAACCAGAAAGCCACGGCUAACUACGUGCCAGCAGCCGCGGUAAUACGUAGGUGGCAAGCGUUAUCCGGAUUUAUUGGGCGUAAAGCGAGCGCAGGCGGUUUUUUAAGUCUGAUGUGAAAGCCCUCGGCUUAACCGAGGAAGCGCAUCGGAAACUGGGAAACUUGAGUGCAGAAGAGGACAGUGGAACUCCAUGUGUAGCGGUGAAAUGCGUAGAUAUAUGGAAGAACACCAGUGGCGAAGGCGGCUGUCUGGUCUGUAACUGACGCUGAGGCUCGAAAGCAUGGGUAGCGAACAGGAUUAGAUACCCUGGUAGUCCAUGCCGUAAACGAUGAAUGCUAGGUGUUGGAGGGUUUCCGCCCUUCAGUGCCGCAGCUAACGCAUUAAGCAUUCCGCCUGGGGGAGUACGACCGCAAGGUUGAAACUCAAAGGAAUUGACGGG